AAUAACAAAAAAAAAAAAAAAAACCCAACACCUUAAACAAAGCCCUUCCUAUGUUCUGCCAUUAUUUCCCCAAAAAGAAGCAAACAACCCACCAAAUCAUCCUACCUUAUCUUCAAUUUCAACAACUUGGAAAAAAAUGGAAAAUAAUAAAAUUCUUGAUCAUCUCUGCCGGAAAUAUGAUCCAAAAUAGUAAAAUUUUCGAAAAUGAAUUAACCCCAAAAAUUGAGAGGGAUUUUUUUUUUAUUUUCAUCUGUUAUUCCCUCCUAAAAUUUUCACAACUAAAAUACAAAUAUGUGGUAAAUAAUCCCCUUGUCUAUCCUUUUUUAUUAAAUUUUCCUUCUACAAAUUUACACUACGCAAUCUCGAAAGUUAGAUCUACAUUAAAUCUUACUAAUCGAAUUCAGAGAGAUCAGACGAAGAAAAUAGCGAUUGGAAGCAGUCGAAUUUGAUUUGUUGGAGUACUUAUCACCGUCGAAGCUCCAAUAUGUCAAGAUCAGAAGGAAAGGCUCAUUCAAAAGAAAAUUACAUAGCUCAAAAUGAGUAUGAAAUACAAAGACUCAGGACAAUUGAAGCUAACAAGACGAGGAUGAAGACUUUGGGCAUAAAGCACAUUGUUGCUUUUUUAACAAGUUUAGUAGAUAGCUCAAAAGUUAAGAAAAGUAAACAAAAGUGUAACGCAUCUCUUGAGAAAGAUGGUAAUUAUGUACCGAUGAGAAUGAGGAAGUUGAGUAUGAGAAGGAAACUCACAAUGUGACUUCAAAUAAGAAAGUAUUGACUUAAUUUUUGUAAAGUUUUUUCUUGGAUACUAUCUAAUAAUCAUGCAUUAUCUUAUAUUUGG